rnacentral:rRNA from 1 species
UAUUGGGCGUAAGAGCUCGUAGGCGGUUUGUCGCGUCUGCCGUGAAAGUCCGGGGCUCAACUCCGGAUCUGCGGUGGGUACGGGCAGGCUAGAGUGAUGUAGGGGAGACUGGAAUUCCUGGUGUAGCGGUGAAAUGCGCAGAUAUCAGGAGGAACACCGAUGGCGAAGGCAGGUCUCUGGGCAUUAACUGACGCUGAGGAGCGAAAGCAUGGGGAGCGAACAGGAUUAGAUACCCUGGUAGUCCAUGCCGUAAACGUUGGGCACUAGGUGUGGGGGACAUUCCACGUUUUCCGCGCCGUAGCUAACGCAUUAAGUGCCCCGCCUGGGGAGUACGGCCGCAAGGCUAAAACUCAAAGGAAUUGACGGGGGCCCGCACAAGCGGCGGAGCAUGCGGAUUAAUUCGAUGCAACGCGAAGAACCUUACCAAGGCUUGACAUGGACCGGACCGCCGCAGAGAUGUGGUUUCUCCUUUUGGGGCCGGUUCACAGGUGGUGCAUGGUUGUCGUCAGCUCGUGUCGUGAGAUGUUGGGUUAAGUCCCGCAACGAGCGCAACCCUCGUUCCAUGUUGCCAGCGCGUAAUGGCGGGGACUCAUGGGAGACUGCCGGGGUCAACUCGGAGGAAGGUGGGGACGACGUCAAAUCAUCAUGCCCCUUAUGUCUUGGGCUUCACGCAUGCUACAAUGGCCGGUACAAAGGGUUGCGAUACUGUGAGGUGGAGCUAAUCCCAAAAAGCCGGUCUCAGUUCGGAUUGGGGUCUGCAACUCGACCCCAUGAAGUCGGAGUCGCUAGUAAUCGCAGAUCAGCAACGCUGCGGUGAAUACGUUCCCGGGCCUUGUACACACCGCCCGUCAAGUCACGAAAGUUGGUAACACCCGAAGCCGGUGGCCUAACCCCUUGUGGAGGGAGCCGUCGAA